GACACCACUUUUGGGAAGUAUACUGUGUGCUGUAGGUACUCUGGGGAUUAAAGAGUAUGCAGAAACUUUUAGCUCAUUGUUUCCACUGAGUACUGUCAAAGUGCUGAUAACACAGGCUGCCAAAAGAGUAUUUUCUAGACAAAACAGUAAAGGGGAUGCAGAGCUACUGAGCCACUCUCUAUUCCCUGCCUGAAGCAUCUCCACCCUUUCAUUCUAAGCAGGUACCCUUGCUUCUAAUACCACAAAAAGCAGGAUAUAGAUGAAUUGUUACCUGCCUAGAUGCUGAGACCAGACUACCUCCGUUGUUGCAACAUGAAGUGAUUGCACUAUAAGGUUGUACAUGUCAUGCAACAUCUUUGUUGGAUGCCUACCCAUCUUGCCUCUAAAAACACCAUGGCUAUUAGAUAUCACCACAGAUAUCUGUGAGAAAGAGUUCCUCGGUUAUUAUUCUGUCUUUGUUAUCUAUAUAUUGGAUCUUCCUUAAGUGAGACUUCUGCAUGAUCUCCAAGCAAGGAGAGGCUAUCUAGCAUGGGGGAGUGGAGGUCUUACAUAGCACAGAGGGGUCAAGAUUUUCAAGCACAGAAGACCAGAUGUUUCUGUUUCAGAUGCCAUUAGGAAUAUUUGUGAUACAUGGGAGGAGGUCAAAAUAUCAACAUUAACAGAAUUUUGGAACAACGUGGUGACAACCCUCACAGGUGAUUUAAAGAGCUCAAGACUUCAGUGGAGGAAAUUACUGAAGAUGUGGUGAAAAUAACAAGAGAACUGGAUUCAGAAG